rnacentral:SRP_RNA from 2 species
GCUAGGCAUGGUGGUGCAUGCCUGUAGUCCCAGCCACUCAGGAGGCUGAUGCGGGAGGAUCGCUUGAGCCCAGGAGGUUGAGGCUGUAGUGAGCUAUGAUGGCACCAUUGCACUCCAGCCUGGGUGACAGAGCAAGACCCUGUCUCUU